UCAACAUUUUUUUUUAAACGUCAAAUGAACGAUGUAAGAUCCGCCCUAAAACAGCCGGUCUUCCUUGCUAACACAGGGUUAUAGCUAGAGAUCAAGAUAUCCUGUUUUAUAACCACCGCAACGAAGAAAGUGAGUGUGAAGGAUAGUAUAGGGAAGAAGAAGCUAAUGAUAUUCAGUGAAUCAAUACCAUGACCAGGAAGCGGCCUCUUCGGAGGACCCGCUGGGGGAGAGGCAGGAAGCGGCAUCGUCGGAGGACCCGCUGGAGACGAAGCAGGAAGCGGCAUCGUCGGAGGACCCGCUGGAGACGAGGCAGGAAGCGGCAUCGUCGGAGGACCCGCUGGAGACGAGGCAGGAAGCGGCAUCGUCGGAGGACCCGCUGGAGACGAGGAUGGCAGCGUCUGACCCACCUGAGAGGCUGGUAACAGAACGGGCGUCGAAGCUGGAGCGUGCUUGGCUUGAGCAGGAUUCGAAGAUGGAGCGGGCUUGGCUUGGGCAGGAUUCGAAGACAGAGAGGGCUUGGUUUGGGCAGGAUUCGAAGACGGAGAGGGCUUGGUUUGGGCAGGAUUCGAAGAUGGCCCGAACUUGGCUUGGGCAGGAUUCGAAGCUGGAACGAGCUUGGCUUGAGAAGGUUCUGAAACUGGAGCGAGCUUGGCAUGAUCCGGCUCUGAAGCUGGAGCGAGCUUGGCUUGAGCCGACGGAGAAGGUGGCGUCGGCUAACCCUCGGCCGGACAGGAUGGGUUCUGCAUCUCCAUCAGCACCUUCUGGUACACUCAUCUAUCCACGCCUUGCUGUACUUCUCUGGAAGGUGCCCCGUAGGAGGAGCAGGCAGCUGCGGUCUUGCUGGAGAAACAGCAGGUGGCGGCGGCCUCGGUGGACGUUGCGCUUGCGGCGGCCAUGCUGGAAGGAGCUGCGCAUCUUCAGUCACACAGCUAACCCUCCUAGCGCCCCCAAGGAGCGAAUUGCAGACUAUCUGGAGGAGCUGUCGACCCGCGAUCUUCACAGGGGCAGAGGCCAAGAGUGGGUGGGUCUUGGGAAGCCGGGUAGUCGGAGUUGGCGGGGACCGGGCCUUGGAAAACUGGGGUGCUGGAACCAGAACAGAAAAAGCAGGGGUUCUGGAAAACUGUGGAGCAGGUGAGGUGGGAGGAGCUUGAACCCUGGCCAACUGGUUGUUCCGGCCAAAAAAUAAUUGUCCCCACUGAGCGCAUCAUGUGCAUGAGCCACCUCUGGUGUCCCCCUGAACACUUCUGACGUUGCCGAUGUUCCGUUAUGGACCUGAGACGGAUUGGAGACAAAGCUGUGCUGAGUGAUAGUCCACUGAUGGAAGGUGGGCCUUUAUUAAACCGCUAUUUGUUGGUUAUACCAUUGUCGUGGAGACAGCAGGGCACGGCAAAGUAAAUGAGAAUUUUAUGUCCAAAUGUAUCACAGAAACAGAGUGCGGAAAGGUCAAGCACAAAAAGGCACAGGGAAAGCUCUGCAUGAAAAAGGGGAAAGCUUGAUUGGAGAGCGAAUAAACAAAACUCAAUCCAAAGUGAAAAAAAUCUCAAAAGUCCACAUACCGUGUGUGUUCCUUCCACAUACAAACAAACACCAAACUCUUGCAAUGAUCCCACAACCAAGAACGAAGGGAGACUGGUUUAAAUAGCCCUCGAACACCAGGUGGCCCUUGGCAAAGGCCUAGUACCGGACUGCCACCUAGCCAGGGAUACGGUGAAGACCUCAACGGCAGAGCAGGCGGAAGACGGUAGAUUUAAGAACUACCACAACGGCUGCGAUGGCGGAAGAAGGCUGCAGCAGAAAAGGGCCCCCAGUCGUCUUGGACUCCAUGCCACUGGACCCUGACCCGAUUCUGUCAAGGAUCGUGUGGUGACUGUCUGUGCACCAGUCUCCCCAUGUUAAAAAAAAGUCACGCACAGGCAUCCUCCAUAAAAGGGAUACACCCCUACCAGGAGGAUCGUCAUACUCAUUCGAGUGACCGCCGAUGAUGGUGCCUAGAGUCACAUGGGGAGGCUGUAUUUCAGUUUUAUGCUCCUAAAAUAUGGAACCAUUUUGCAGAAGAUGUGAGACAGGCUUGAAUGUUGGCAAUGUUCAAAUCCCAGCUGAAAACACUUUGUGCAUAUG